UUGAUUUGUAUCUACACUUUACUCUUUUGAUCUUACAUCACUUGGUAUUGCAUGGUUUUACCUUUUAAUCUUGUGUGUGCAUUUACUCGAGUAUAGGAGUAAUAAUACCAACCUAAUUAGAUUAUGUUAAGGGCGGGCAGGGUUUGUUCCCAUGGAUGAUUUUGUAAAAUUUAAUCAAUACUGAAUAUUGUAGAGCCAAGGUAUGAAUCUUAUUUAUGGCUUACAGUAAUAUAUUUUUAUGAAAAAAAUAUAAUUACAUCUAUUUCAAACUUAAGUCUACUUCACCCCGUGGUUUCCCCAAAGUUUGUGAUUUGGUAAAUAUGUGAAUAAUUCACUACAUUGAAUUCUACUUGAGUUGCACUUUUACUUCUCUUAUUGUUCUUCAUUUUAGUUAACCUUCUCUGGUGCUUGUAAAGGUACUCUCUCCAUGGUCCUUAUGGCAGUAAGCAAUAAACUUGGUGUUAACGUGCUCAAUAAACUGAAUUUAUGAUUGCAGUCAUUGUAUGAAGUUGAGCUACCUCUUUGAAUAUAGUGAUGUUAAUCUAAUCUAAAAUAUCCUCUCAUAUCAAUUUAAAGCUUAGGUAGCUUGACCCAUUAUGACGGAGUAGUUAGCCUGUUAUAUAUUGCCUAUUAAUCAAGUCCAUUGGAUACUUACCACUAGCUCUUUGAAACAUUUACAUGUAGCUUUGAGGAUAUAAGAAGAGAUGCCUAAUAAAAUUAUAAAAAACUUGAGAAGGUUUGUGCUCUUGACAACUUGUCGAAUGUUAGAUAUUGAAGAAUCUUACUUUCUUAAGGCAAUGUUAAGGACCUAUCUGGUGAUUUGCAGGUACCUAACAAAGUUUGGUGUUCAUGGCACAAGAAUUCAGAAACAGAACAUGAUUAUCCAUAAUUUUUUAAACAAUUGUCUCAUAAAUCAUUAUUUUUAAUUGUAAAGUACUACUUGGUUGUUUCGACGCCUCUAUUCCAUCACCAUGAACAUAACUAACUUUAAAGUCAUCACAAAAGAAAUAGAUCUAAAAUCAGUAAAUCACACUCCUUGUUCAUCACUUUCUUGAUUUCUUUAUUUAUGAUGAGCCAGCAGUUCUCUUUUAAAGGUGUCCCUUUCCUCCUCUCUUGCUAGUUUUAGAAGUGCUUCCCUUAAUCUUGAUGGUGGAAUGUAUUGUCUUCCCUCCCUCAUGAUGAAGAGUGAGCUUGUACCUUCCCUAGAGUGCUCGCCAAUUUCUGCUAAAAUGAAUGCCGAACUCUUUAGUUGCUCUCCGGGCUGUGCCAUUUGCUGGUUAAUUGUUUGAUCUGACAUAUAUAUAAGAACAUAAGGCAGCUGGUAAGUUUCAAUAUUUACCACUUAACAGUAAAAAAAAAAGAGUUCCAAUAUUUACUACACAGAUAGUAAGAAAAAAAAUCUUUUCUAAAACAAGAAUAAGUUUCAAGAAAUGUAAUUACUGUUUGUUUAGUCACAAACGAGGAACUAGAUUGCAUUGAUGCUUGACUCUCACUAAUAAUACUUGAAACCUGCAUAAGCAAAAUCUUUAGUGGUUUCAGUCUUAAUAAAUUUAACCAACUCAUCUGCAAAGAAUUAAAAAAAUAAAAUAAAAAAGUACAUUUGGAGUACUUGCUUCUGUUACAUUGCUUGGUUCGCUAGAAGGACCUUCUCUGCUAAGUUGUUGUUGAACCUCUUCUUGGUGGCUCAGCCUGAUAAUAGGACAUCUUCUACUAUUAUGUCCUGUUUUUCCACAUGAACCACAGUUCUUCUUUUUUCCUUUUCUGGAUGCUUUUAAUGAGUUAUGCUUUUUAAGAUCUGGUUCUUUUGGAGAUGUCUCAUCGGGUCCUCUCUUAAUUUUUUCGGUCUACCAGGCUGAGUCUUGUAAAUGGGUGGCAGCACUGGAUCUACUCCUGUCUUAGGCCACUGUGCAGAGCUAUUAAUUGGCAGGAUUGAGG
rnacentral:lncRNA from 1 species